UCGAGAAUCAUUCGCAGUGGGCGAAAGCCUGACGAUGCGACGCUGCGUGAGCGAUGUAGGCCCUCGGGUCGUAAAGCUCUUUCGCCGGGGAACAAGGGAGGAUGGCUAACAUCCAUCUAACUUGAGCGUACCCGGUAAAGAAGCACCGGCUAACUCCGUGCCAGCAGCUGCGGUAAUACGGAGGGUGCAAGCGUUAAUCGGAUUUAUUGGGCGUAAAGGGGGCGUAGGCGGGAAGGCAAGUCAGAUGUGAAAUUCCGGGGCUCAACCUCGGAGCUGCAUUUGAAACUACCUUUCUUGAGGAAAGGCGGAGAAAACGGAAUUCCACAAGUAGCGGUGAAAUGCGUAGAUAUGUGGAAGAACACCUGUGGCGAAAGCGGUUUUCUAGCUUAUUCCUGACGCUGAGGCCCGAAAGCUAGGGGAGCAAACAG
rnacentral:rRNA from 1 species